rnacentral:rRNA from 1 species
GGUUAAGCGACUAAGCGUACACGGUGGAUGCCCUGGCAGUCAGAGGCGAUGAAGGGCGUGCUAAUCUGCGAUAAGCGCCGGUAAGGUGAUAUGAACCGUUAUAACCGGCGAUACCCGAAUGGGGAAACCCAGUGUGAUUCGUCACACUAUCAUUAACUGAAUCCAUAGGUUAAUGAGGCGAACCGGGGGAACUGAAACAUCUAAGUACCCCGAGGAAAAGAAAUCAACCGAGAUUCCCCCAGUAGCGGCGAGCGAACGGGGAGGAGCCCAGAGCCUGAAUCAGCAUGUGUGUUAGUGGAAGCGUCUGGAAAGGCGUGCGAUACAGGGUGACAGCCCCGUACACAAAAGCGCAUGUGCUGUGAGCUCGAUGAGUAGGGCGGGACACGUGGUAUCCUGUCUGAAUAUGGGGGGACCAUCCUCCAAGGCUAAAUACUCCUGACUGACCGAUAGUGAACCAGUACCGUGAGGGAAAGGCGAAAAGAACCCCGGCGAGGGGAGUGAAAAAGAACCUGAAACCGUGUACGUACAAGCAGUGGGAGCCCCACCACUAAGCCAGUGGUGAACUCCACAUACGCAUCCUUUGCUGAGGAUACGGUUAACGGAGCACAAGCGACGUUCAACCUCAAAAGAAGCAGAGGGGGCUUAGUGGUGGGGUGACUGCGUACCUUUUGUAUAAUGGGUCAGCGACUUAUAUUCUGUAGCAAGGUUAACCGUAUAGGGGAGCCG